CAGUCGCCGCGGUAAGACAGAGGUCCCGAGCGUUGUUCGGAUUCAUUGGGCGUAAAGGGUGUGUAGGAGGCCAGGUAAGUCAGGUGUGAAAUCUCAGAGCUUAACUCUGAAACUGUGCUUGAUACUGCUUGGCUAGAGGAUCGGAGGGGGUAACGGAAUUUAUGGUGUAGCAGUGAAAUGCGUAGAUAUCAUAAGGAACACCGGUGGCGAAGGCGGUUACCUGGAAGAUUCCUGACUCUGAAACACGAAAGCCAGGGGAGCAAACGGGAUUAGAUACCCGCGUAGUCCCUGUCUCUUAUAC
rnacentral:rRNA from 1 species